rnacentral:rRNA from 1 species
UACGUAGGAGACGAGCGUUUGUCCGGAAUACUGGGCGUAAAGCGCGUGUAGGCGGAUGGGCAAGUCUGCUGUGAAAGCUCCUGGCUUAACCGGGAGUGGUCGGUGGAAACUGCCAAUCGUGGAGGACGGUAGAGGUAGGUAGAAUUCCCGGUGUAGUGGUGAAAUGCGUAGAGAUCGGGAGGAAUACCUGUGGCGAAGGCGGCCUCUGGGCCGGACCUGACGCUGAGACGCGAAGGCGUGGGGAGCGAACGGG